rnacentral:lncRNA from 1 species
UCUUUUUCUCUCUCAUUACUUCUUGCACUCUUCCCUGGGAUUGGCUUUGGGCCUUUGUUAAGACUUCUUCCUUCUGAGCUUACUUGCCAAUUCUUAGCAUUGGUACCGGUACUUUUCUCAUCCUAUGACUAUCAACAGACUCACUACUAUGGCAAGGCUUUAGUUUCGCUCUCUCCUAAACCUACCCUAAUAAAAAAGACUAAAGUCAAGACACCUACUUACUCGACUAUAAAGUAAAGGAGACGCUAUUAUGUAUCUUGACCGAACAAGCUACUGCUUUUGAAUAGAAUAAAAUGUCAUUCGAUACCGUAGCUUAUAGCUUUGGUUUGAAGAUGCUAGACCGGAAGAAAGGAGAGGGUAUUACCACAAGAAGGCAUUUCUUACUUCAUUACAGGGAUUAAGUUCAAGCCUACAUCUAAAGGAAGGGAGGUUUGAAGAGCGAGAGCAACUCGUUAGGGCUAAGGUAUGAAAUUGACAUAGCUUUGCGAGAGGAAUGAUUGAUUUUCUUAGUUGUCUUCCUUCAAUUCAUGGGGUUAGGUCUAACUAUC